UACGUAGGGGCCGAGCGUUGUCCGGAGUUAUUGGGCGUAAAGCGCGCGCAGGCGGCCUCGCGCGCCCGACGUGAAAGCCCCCGGCUUAACCGGGGAGGGUCGUUGGGGACGGCGCGACUCGAGCCCGUGAGAGGUCCACGGAAUUGCCGGUGUAGUGGUGAAAUGCGUAGAGAUCGGCAGGAACACCCAGGGGGAAACCAGUGGACUGGCACGGUGCUGACGCUCAGGUGCGAAAGCGUGGGGAGCGAACCGG
rnacentral:rRNA from 1 species